rnacentral:rRNA from 1 species
GACUUCGGAAGGGAUGUGUUUAUUAGAUAAAAAACCAAUGCCCUUCGGGGCUCUUUGGUGAUUCAUGAUAACUUUACGGAUCGCAUAGCCUUGCGCUGGCGACGGUUCAUUCAAAUUUCUGCCCUAUCAACUUUCGAUGGUAAGGUAUUGGCUUACCAUGGUUUCAACGGGUAACGGGGAAUUAGGGUUCGAUUCCGGAGAGGGAGCCUGAGAAACGGCUACCACAUCCAAGGAAGGCAGCAGGCGCGCAAAUUACCCAAUCCCGACACGGGGAGGUAGUGACAAUAAAUACUGAUACAGGGCUCUUUUGGGUCUUGUAAUUGGAAUGAGUACAAUUUAAACCUCUUAACGAGGAACAAUUGGAGGGCAAGUCUGGUGCCAGCAGCCGCGGUAAUUCCAGCUCCAAUAGCGUAUAUUAAAGUUGUUGCAGUUAAAAAGCUCGUAGUUGAAACUUGGGCCUGGCUGGCGGGUCCGCCUCACCGCGUGCACUCGUCCGGCCGGGCCUUCCUUCUGAAGAACCUCAUGCCCUUCACUGGGCGUGUUGGGGAAUCAGGACUUUUACUUUGAAAAAAUUAGAGUGUUCAAAGCAGGCCUUUGCUCGAAUACGUUAGCAUGGAAUAAUAAAAUAGGGCGUGCGUUUCUAUUUUGUUGGUUUCUAGAGACGCCGCAAUGAUUAACAGGAACAGUCGGGGGCAUCAGUAUUCAGUUGUCAGAGGUGAAAUUCUUGGAUUUACUGAAGACUAACUACUGCGAAAGCAUUUGCCAAGGAUGUUUUCAUUAAUCAGUGAACGAAAGUUAGGGGAUCGAAGACGAUCAGAUACCGUCGUAGUCUUAACCGUAAACUAUGCCGACUAGGGAUCGGGCGAUGUUCUUUUUCUGACUCGCUCGGCACCUUACGAGAAAUCAAAGU